rnacentral:rRNA from 1 species
AGAGUUUGAUCCUGGCUCAGGAUGAACGCUAGCGGCAGGCUUAACACAUGCAAGUUGAACGGUAUCUGAUAGCAAUAUCAGAGAGAGCAGCGCACGGGUGCGUAACGCGUAUGCAACCUACCUUUAACUGGAGGAUAGCCCCGAGAAAUCGGGAUUAAUACUUCAUAAAAUAUCUAGAAGGCAUCUGAAAGAUAUUAAAGCUCCGGCGGUUAAAGAUGGGCAUGCGUAACAUUAGCUAGAUGGUAAGGUAACGGCUUACCAUGGCAACGAUGUUUAGGGGUUCUGAGAGGAUUAUCCCCCACACUGGUACUGAGACACGGACCAGACUCCUACGGGAGGCAGCAGUGAGGAAUAUUGGGCAAUGGAGGCAACUCUGACCCAGCCAUGCCGCGUGCAGGAAGACGGCCCUAUGGGUUGUAAACUGCUUUUAUACAGGAAGAAACCCUUGGACGUGUCCAAGGCUGACGGUAGUAAAUGAAUAAGCACCGGCUAACUCCGUGCCAGCAGCCGCGGUAAUACGGAGGGUGCAAGCGUUAUCCGGAAUCAUUGGGUUUAAAGGGUGCGUAGGCGGGCUUGUAAGUCAGAGGUGAAAUCCUUCAGCUCAACUGUGGAACUGCCUUUGAUACUGGUUGUCUUCUUGAGUAUAGAUGAAGUGGGCGGAAUGUGUCAUGUAGCGGUGAAAUGCAUAGAUAUUACAUGGAACACCGAUUGCGAAGGCAGCUCACUAAACUAUUACUGACGCUCAGGGACGAAAGCGUGGGGAGCGAACAGGAUUAGAUACCCUGGUAGUCCACGCCGUAAACGAUGAUUACUCGGUGCUAGCGACAUACUGUUAGUGCCUAAGCGAAAGCGAUAAGUAAUCCACCUGGGGAGUACGGUCGCAAGAUUGAAACUCAAAGGAAUUGACGGGGGCCCGCACAAGCGGUGGAGCAUGUGGUUUAAUUCGAUGAUACGCGAGGAACCUUACCUGGGCUUAAAUGUAGAUUGCAUAUCUUAGAGAUAGGAUUUUCCUUCGGGACUAUCUACAAGGUGCUGCAUGGUUGUCGUCAGCUCGUGCCGUGAGGUGUCGGGUUAAGUCCCAUAACGAGCGCAACCCCUAUCGUUAGUUGCUAGCAGGUAAUGCUGAGGACUCUAGCGAGACUGCCACCGUAAGGUGCGAGGAAGGUGGGGAUGACGUCAAAUCAGCACGGCCCUUAUGUCCAGGGCUACACACGUGUUACAAUGGCAGGGACAAAGGGCAGCUACUUGGCAACAAGAUGCUAAUCUCUAAAGCCUGUCCCAGUUCGGAUUGGAGUCUGCAACCCGACUCCAUGAAGUUGGAUUCGCUAGUAAUCGGAUAUCAGCCAUGAUCCGGUGAAUACGUUCCCGGGCCUUGUACACACCGCCCGUCAAACCAUGGAAGCUGGGGGUGCCUGAAGUCUGUAGCCGAAAGGAGCGGCCUAGGGUAAAACUAGUAACUCUGGGGCUAAGUCGUAACAAGGUAACC